rnacentral:tRNA from 1 species
GGGUAUGUAGCUCAGUAGUAGAGCAUUUGCCUAGCAUGCACAAGGCCCUGGGUUCAAUCCCCAGAUCCA